rnacentral:rRNA from 1 species
CAAAUGACUCUCGGCAACGGAUAUCUCGGCUCAUGCAUCGAUGAAGAACGUAGCAAAAUGCGAUACUUGGUGUGAAUUGCAGAAUCCCGUGAACCAUCGAGUUUUUGAACGCAAGUUGCGCCCAAAGCCAUUUGGUUGAGGGCACGUCUGCAUGGGCGUCACGC